UACAGAGGGUGCGAGCGUUGUUCGGAAUUACUGGGCGUAAAGGGCGCGUAGGCGGCCUGCUAAGUCGAACGUGAAAUCCCUGGGCUCAACCCAGGAACUGCGUCCGAUACUGGUUGGCUUGAAUCCGGGAGAGGGACGUGGAAUUCCAGGUGUAGCGGUGAAAUGCGUAGAUAUCUGGAGGAACACCGGUGGCGAAGGCGACGUCCUGGACCGGCAUUGACGCUGAGGCGCGAAAGCCAGGGGAGCAAACGGG
rnacentral:rRNA from 1 species